GAUAUUAUUUUUGUAGAAAAGUGUGAGUGUGAAUGCAAGAAAGUUGGAAAAGUGGGUGGUGAGAUUUUUCCUAAGCACCACACGUAUUCCACCCAAAGUCCCCAUCUCUUAUCCCCUUUUUGCUGCCCCAAAAGUCUUCUCCUUAUCCCAUCUUCUUGGCUGCACCAGACAGAAAGUCCAGCCCUCUUUCUCUACUCCUAUUUCUUUGUUUUUGUUUUCUUCUCUCUUUGCUCUUACACGGCAACCGCCCUCUCUCACCAAAACAAAAUAUCCCUCUCUAAAGAAGAAAUUAAAGGGUUAACACUAAAAUUUCAGCUUCAAAGGUUGGGUGUUACUAGUUCCCCAGGUCUAAGCUCCUUCGACUGUAGGCUCUUGGUUCCUCUGCUUUCAGGUGGGGGAUAAGUUAUAUAGGCAUUUGGUAAGUCAUGAGGUUAUUUUAAAGUAUAUUAUGUAUUAAAAUGUUUUUUAUUAGAGAUAUGACAUAUAAUCAUUAUUCUGAAAAAGAUAUGUUCGUGAGUUUUCUAAAACUUAUGUAUAUGAUUUAAGCAUAUUGAUGCUAUUACUGAUUCCACGAACAUGAUGUUUAAAGAAAAGAAUGGAAAUGCUAUUAUUAUGAAAUGUUAUGCAAAAUAAGAAAUUUCAGUAUGAUGUAUAAGUAUGAAAGGUUUUCAGGUUAUGUCCUCUGGUGAUCUGACCUCUGUCAGUAGGGGUUAAUUGCUGGCUUUCCAUGGAAAAUGUUAUAUGAUUGGCCAUUAAAUGGGACUAGCUUUGCUAUACCCGCCCUUGUUAGUUUCAGCCAACUUGUGGAGGAAGUCAACCUACCCCCAUGGUUGAAAGAUAUGUAUUAUGAUGUGAUUCCGAAAAUACCUAGUAUUGUGGGGAAUGUUGGAUGCCUAGCACCAUGAUGCUAGAAGCCUCCCAAAUAAGUACAGACUUAUCAGAUAUGGAUUAACCAAUAUGUUAUGAACAGCUAUGUUAUGUUAUUAAUCA